rnacentral:lncRNA from 1 species
GUAAACUUAUCGACGACAAGAGGAGAGAUUUUGGUGGAUCCACCGUUAAAAAGUCCAAUUGUCGUUAUCGUUGUCCCCGACAGUGGAGGAGAGAAUCAUCAACAUGGGAAUCUUCCGCGAAAAGAUGUUGGUCAAAGUGGAGUGUGUUAAGUGAAGUGGAUCAACAUCUCUAGUUUGGAGAAGAUGUUGGUCAAAGUGGAGUGUUAAGUGAAGUGGAUCAACAUCUCGAAUUUGGUACCUUUGAAUUAUGCUUAUAGGUUUGACAAUUAUGAUAACUAGUGGGAUUUCGUGUACUAUUUUGGUGAGGCUGGUAUAGAAGGUCUACUACGAUACGAUAGGAUACAAUGAUCUGAAAGGCUAGACAUGGACAAUAUAAAAUAACUAAUCAUGUCAUUUUUUUUCGAACAUAAACACAGACCUAUUAAGAAACAAGUCAACACAUCACGACAUGUUUAUAAAAGUCAAACGACAUUAUAUCUUUCUUGAGCUCAUUGAAAUUAAUUUUAUUAGAAUCUACAAACAAAUAUAUACUAUUAGUAAAAUAGUGUGAGGUUUAUUGGGGAAUACUAAAAAAGUGGGGAACAGUGGGAACCGACUCAAACGAACUCCGAUUGGACUCUUUCCAGCGGCGUUGGAACCAUCUCGUCGAACCCUUACUAGGAUCUCUUAACCCUAAACCCUAAAUCAUAACCCCUAAACCCUAAAUAUAUUAGGGUUUAGCUUUAGGGUUUAGCCUUAGGGUUUAGAGUUUAGCUUUAGGGUUUAGCUAUAGGUAGUGGUGGCAAAGUGGGCAAGUUUGAUGAGUUUGGGUAAUGGGUCAAGAUGGGUUUGGGUUAGGAUGGGUAUAGGUCAGGAUGGGUAUUUUAAAAAAAGGGUUGGAUGGGUAAUGGGUCAAGAUGGGUUUGGGUUAGAAUAGGUUUGGGGUAAGAUGGGUUCUAAAAAAUAAAAUAAAAAUCUAAAAAAUCAUAAAAAAUCUAAAAAAUCCGAAAAAUUCUAAAAAAUCAUAAAAAAUCCGAAAAAAAUCAUAAAAAAGCUAAAAAAUCCGAAAAACGUUAAAAAAUCGUAAAAAAUUCUAAAAAUUCAGAAAAAAUAAAAAAAAUCCAAAAAAAACCUAAAAAAUCAUAAAAAAUAAAAAAAAUCCGAAAAAAUCUAA